rnacentral:misc_RNA from 1 species
AGUUGAUGCUGAUGGAAAUGGAACUAUCGAUUUUCCUGAGUUUCUUAAUCUGAUGGCAAGAAAAAUGAAGGACACUGAUUCAGAGGAGGAGCUCAAGGAAGCUUUCCGUGUGUUUGAUAAAGAUCAGAAUGGGUUCAUUUCUGCCGCUGAGCUUCGGCAUGUAAUGACAAAUCUUGGUGAGAAGUUAACAGACGAGGAGGUUGAUGAAAUGAUCCGUGAGGCAGAUGUUG